rnacentral:rRNA from 1 species
AUUGAACGCUGGCGGCAUGCUUUACACAUGCAAGUCGAACGGCAGCGCGGGCUUCGGCCUGGCGGCGAGUGGCGAACGGGUGAGUAAUACAUCGGAACGUGCCCAGUAGUGGGGGAUAGCUCGGCGAAAGCCGGAUUAAUACCGCAUACGACCUGAGGGUGAAAGCGGGGGAUCUUCGGACCUCGCGCUAUUGGAGCGGCCGAUGGCAGAUUAGCUAGUUGGUGGGGUAAAGGCCUACCAAGGCGACGAUCUGUAGCUGGUCUGAGAGGACGACCAGCCACACUGGGACUGAGACACGGCCCAGACUCCUACGGGAGGCAGCAGUGGGGAAUUUUGGACAAUGGGCGAAAGCCUGAUCCAGCAAUGCCGCGUGUGUGAUGAAGGCCUUCGGGUUGUAAAGCACUUUUGGCGCGAACGAAAAGGACUGUGCCAAUACCACGGUUCGAUGACGGUACCCGCAGAAUAAGCACCGGCUAACUACGUG